GGACGCGCGACUCCCUCCACCCAGGGCGGUUGGGGGAGGUGGGCGUCCCCAGCAGGACGUUGCCCAGCUGCUGGCCUGGGAGGAGCUAGGGUGUCGGGCACCCACAGUCACUUGAACUCUGCGUGCGGUUAGCUGGUGAAGACACGAAAGCUGCAGAGCCAUCCUCAGCUACUGUUCUGCAUUGAGCUAGAGAUCCUCCAACUGUUGAUUAGGAUCAACCACUAGAUCUCAAAGCCUUACCUGGAAUCUCUUCAAGUCAUUGGCUGGUCUCAGAAAAAGCUCAGGACCCUGACGAGCAAAGUGGCCAAACUCAGCAUUCGUGUUCGAGUGAAUAACUGGGAGAAAAUGUGCAUCCACCAGAGGCUAGAGAUUUGGGGCACCAUCUUAGAAUUCUGCCUACCACGACAUAGUUCUUGUGAGCAGCUGUCCAGGGCCUGAGCUUGGGAGGCAAGUCUGUUGUAGAGAGCAUCCAGCCACACUAUACCAAGAGGGGCCUCCAUGUUUACCACUGAUGAUGGGCUCACCCGUAGAGCUGAGGGAAGAGGCCUUGACAAUGGACAGAAUUUAGGGGAUCCUGACCUUGGCUUCAAACCCUAGCCAGUGGCGGUGUACCCAGAGGAGCUCCCUAGCUCUUGUUCUCUCUCGGGUUCUCUGGAUACCCUCCCCACUGCACCUUACCCUGGGAUACUGCCCCACACCGGGGCCGUCACAGUCCCCUCCCUGCCAUGCACACUGAGGACAGGGCCCCAAACUGGACAUCGGGAGCCCUGGGUGCGAGUCUCGCUUCUGCCAACAGCAACCACUGUGUAUUCUUGGGCAAGUCCCUUAACCUCUCUGGGUCUUGAUUCCCUCAGCUGUAAGAGGGAGAUAAUAAUCCUGUAAGGCCCUCGGUGUUACUCUUGAGGAUCAAGAUAAUGAGUGUGAAAAUCUUUCAGUUACUCCAAAUGUGAUUAGCAUUUAUUAUUAUUUAUCCUGGAAACUCUUCCUUCCUCGGGGCCCUGCUAAGUGAACCAAAGUGUGAAUGGUUAAUAAUGAACUUUUAGUUUCUCCUUCCAGACAAUUAUUUGCACUUAUAACCAAGAUGUUCCAUGCCUGCCUUCAGAGGAAAGAGUAGGGAAUAAAUUCGAGGUUCGCAGGCAUGCUGGUGAAGAGCAUCCUCCCAGCGGGAGGUCCUGCUUCCUUCACUGGAUACUCUGCUGGCAUCACCAUCUCUCCUCAUGAAAGGAUGGACAUUGGUAUCUACGUCAGGGAAGUCUUUGUGUAGAAGGCUGAGGGGAGAAGAAUGUCCAAGGACAAACACUUGCUGGUGAACCCAACUUCACAAACGGCCUUCAUUGGUCACACUCGCUUGGUACCCAGCUGAUGCGUCCAUGAGACUGUUCUGAGCCGAACACACCACAGCAUUGGGAAAGGGAAAGAAUUCUUUCCUUGAAUUCCUGUGUUACGCUGGUGAAGGGAGAGAAGACUGCCAAAAAUUUCAUAAUGUUUGAAGACCCCUGUCCUGGUGCAGGUAUUUGUCUGUAUUCGGAUAGGUCGGUGGCUGCUUUCUCUCUUGCUCAACACUUCCUCCUGCAUUCCAUCCGCAUUCUUGUUUCCCAUCCAAAGGCCUCCACUCCUUUUCCAGCAAUUUCUGUUCCCUAGGCCCCCAUCUCCUCCUCCCGUGAAUACGGACCCAGGUUCAUCUGAGACUUUCCCUGUUGACUUUGGCGCAGCCCCCCAUUGCCUCUCCCAGAGUCUGGUUCAUAAAUUCAUUCUUCCAUCAGUCUAACUCAAUCCUAGACGUCACCUUCCUGUUUCCCAACUCUCCUCAGGCUCCUCAUUAUCUACCGAAUUAACUUCCAUCCUCUAAGACUGGCCUUGGAGGCUGUCCUCCCCCUAGUCCCCAGGGAAGCUGCUGGUACAGACCUGGGCUGGCCACACUGUUUCCCCAGGUUGGCACAGCCUGUUCAGGGUAUAGAGCCCCAGAAAGAGGCAUUUGACCCCAGAUAUUGGCCCAUUGUUCCUGCUGGCCUCGGUGCUCUCUCAGGCACCUGCUAGGCCCAGCCAGCCUUUUGGACCUCAUCUACUUUUCCCUUACUCCUGCCUGCCCUGCUCCCUGGCCCAGUGCCCUACCCACGCCUCUCUUAAAAACCUCUCCAUAGCCUGUCUCUAUACAUUUGUUAUACCAUUCCUUCCACCCAAAGUUCUUUAAUUUACCCCUCACAGUGCCCCCCUGCCCCAGCCCCGCAGCCCAUCUGAGUGGCACUUCCUCAUCAGCCAAGGGAGCAUGGAUGGAGCACGCUCAUAUGGUAGGGGAUCUGGACCGGCUGUUUACCACGGGACCCAAGCUGCUAGCCGUGUCUUUAGAUUUUUCCUCUUGGGCUGCUCAGACUCCCCAGAGAGGAAUCUUCCAGGCUCUUGCCUGGAGGGUGGGGUCAGGCUGCGUGUGUGUUUAAGCCCCAAGCGGCAAGAAGGGCCGGGAGUCCCUAAGUUUAAAAAUCAAUAACAUCAGUCCUUGAUCCUUCUGUUUUCCAUGCUGUAUGCCGCACUUAGAGCCCCCCAUCCUGAGACCCACUCUUACCCUCUCGUGGGAGGAAAACCACAGACUUCUGCUGGGGCAAGACAGGGACAGGCACCCAGCCGGAAGGAGUCAGAGCCUGCCUCAAGGGACCUAGAGACUGCCUCCCAAGUGCAAACACUGCUGGCAGUGUGUUCAAAGUAAUUUACAUAUAUAAGCAUAUAUUUACAUAUUCACAUACUUAAGUUUACCCCUCAAACCACACUUCUCCCAGCUCUCUGCACUUAACCCCACCCAUCUGAGUCUGACCUUCUGACCCCCUGACCGCUGGUCCUAAGCUCCUGGGGCUCCCACUUUCUCCUUUUGAGGAGCCUGUGGAAUGAAAUGUUCAUCCUAGCUUUCUCCAGGUCAGGCUUGGAAUCGGGCUCAAAAGUCUGCCUGGUCCGUUAUUCCUCAUCUGUUUGCUUUCCUACUUCCAAAAUGUUAGUGCUGCUGUCUCCUCAUAAAAUCCUUUCCUGAGAAACAUCACUGCAUGUACAUUCGUGGGCUAACUGAUGUUGAUGCAUCUGGAGAGAGUUGUCCACCCACCUGACCUGCCACAGCCAACUCGGCACCCUGACUUUGAGACCCUCCCAGACUUUUCCCCGUGGGCCUCUUCAUUUGGCUGGUCCUGAUCUAUAACCCUUAUAAUAAAACCAAAGUUGUAAGUCUAGCACCUUUCUGAGUUCGGUGCAUUAUGCCAGUAAACAUGCUCACAGGGGGAGUGGGAACCCCCAAAUCUGUAGCCAGUUGAUCAAAGCGUGGGUGGCCUGGGGACCCCUGAACUUGUGUCUGGCAUGUGAAGCCAGGGCCGUGUCGCUGGAGACCGUCCUUCACCCGUGUAGUGUGCACUAACUCAGGGCAAUUAGCUUCAGAACUGCAUUGCAGUCCUGCCCAUACAGCCAGGUGCUGGGGAUGAAGAGGUCACAGAGGGCCAAGUGAAGCUUUCCGGACUUCCCCUGCCCUUGCAACCAGGGCCUUCUCCCUCCACGGCCAACCUCAUAUGUAAUGGACUAUGCGAGUUUCCCCAGGCCUGAUAGGUACAAAUGAGGUUGUUUUCAUGACCUUACUUCUCAGCUUCUUCCCUACAUCCAGCCCUGCAAAGUGCCCGUGCCCAUGGGAAUUUCUGGGGGUGCCUGGGUGGCUCAGGUUUGUUCAUGAACAAGUCUGGUCUGCUCUUUCCGAGGUCUGCUGGACACUGCUGCUUCCCCGGGGUGACACCAUUUUGGAUAUAUUCUGCUUGCCUGUCCGGAUGAGUUGUAUCAUCCAGGCCAUUUUGUCCUGGCUUUGGGUCAGGUUCAGCCCAUGGUAGGCACUGGAGGCAGGGGUUGGAGGAGCGUGAGGUCAGGGUAUUUAUUCCCUGCUCCCUCCCUGCAGGGAGUUGGCUGAUUCUCCUAAGAAAGUCUACAGCUGGCGCACUGGGGCGCCUGGGUGGCUCAGUGGGUUAAGCCACUGCUUUCGCUGCCUUUAGCUCAGGUCAC